rnacentral:rRNA from 1 species
UACGGAGGGGACUAGCGUUGUUCGGAAUUACUGGGCGUAAAGCGCACGUAGGCGGAUUUGUAAGUCGGGUGUGAAAGCCCGGGGCUCAACUCCAGAACUGCCUUCGAUACUGAGAGUCUCGAGUCCGGGAGAGGUGAGUGGAACUGCGAGUGUAGAGGUGAAAUUCGUAGAUAUUCGCAAGAACACCAGUGGCGAAGGCGGCUCACUGGCCCGGUACUGACGCUGAGACGCGAAAGCGUGGGGAGCGAACAGG